rnacentral:misc_RNA from 1 species
GUCGCCAGGGAGGGUCCAUUGUGCAGCUCUUGUGCGACGUCAUAGGCCCUGUGCGACGUAAACCUGUAAAUGACGACGUAAUGUGCGACGUAAUGUAUACAACAACAGCUCUCUUUCAUCAAUUUAGGCUUAUAAGCCUUUUUUAAAUAGAAUAGCAGAUCCCGUUACACUUUGCACAGCGUUUGGAGUUUUUUUUCCCUUUUAAUUAAGGGGCUCUAAAUUUUAUGAUGAUAUGAUAAAAAUUAUUGAUAUCACUAAAGAUGAUAUCACGUGAUGUUUAUGCAUCGAUAUAAGAUCAUUCCACUUUGUGGACAGAAUUAAAGAGCAGAAGUCGUUGUCACAUUAUUUUCUUUGAAAUUUCAUUAUUUUAUAAAUAGAGUUGCAGCUUUAAAUUUAUUUAUAUGCGGCGAAUAAGUUUUUCCCAUAUGUUGAUCGGAACGUUUCUCGGAGGGUUUUGUUCUUUGUAUAUUAUGUACCCAUAUAUUCAAGAGAAACGAAGAGAGAUUAAAGAUAAUAAAAAAGAAUAAAAUUUGAAUUAACAACAACUUAGUAUUAUAUCGCAAAAUACAGGAAAGUUUAUAGAUUAAUGUUCGUUCAAAGUUUGUUGCGUAAAAUUAUUAGUGUUCGUGACUAUGGCAGAAAUUAAUUCCAGGAAAUCUCAAGGUCAUUAUAU